UUUUUUUUUGACAGGACUACUUCAGAGGUGGGGCUGAACUAUUGUAUCACAUCAUGUGGCACUUGACUGACAGCCACAUUUUCAGUGAUACUACGCAAUAAUCUGUGUAUUCAAUGUAUGAUUACAAAAGCACAUGGACAUGAAGAUACACUCCAAGCCAUGUCACCAUACACAUUCCAAACCAAUUCAAUCAACUGGAAAAGAUUCUGAGAAUCUACCACAUCGGCAAGCAUGGAGGAAGAAUUCUAAGAGGCCCAAGACUGCCACCACCACCUGAUUAUAUCCAUCUAAGAGCCUCAGAGGAAAGGAUAGGUAUCCCCAAGCUCACGGUAUGUAAUAUUUGUCUCUACUUUUCCAAAUGAUAGAGUUGGGGUACCAUUUCCUUCCAUAGGGCAACUGGCCAAUU